GACGCGAGUAAUUUUCACUUUUCACUGAUCCAAAGGAGGUCACGUGGGAUUGCUUGAAAAUGGCGAAACGAAACUUGUGAAUCGUGCAUUUGCUCUUCUUGGUAGCUGCCAGAAAAUCGAAUCAAGCUUAUGGGACACUGGAUUACAGGUUGCUGCCACUACUCCAUGUGCCCGCAAUUGUCUUGCGUGUAUGAUUACACUAACGGCGUCGCCAACCACGGCGGAAGUGUUUUGCGUACACGCGUUUCAGCAUGAAGCCUGCAGAUGGACGUAAAUUGUAGAAGGCAGCUAGUGGGGGAGAAGAUCAUGGUCAUAGGUCAUGUGACUCCUGGAGCUCCCAGUGGGCUCCCUUGUGGAGUACUUUUCAGAACACACACACAUACAGUUUGCUCACAGAACCAACGAGUAGGAUGUUGCUUGAAUACUGAGAGAAAAUGGCGUAACACAUACAAAUAUCGUGUGACACAUAUGACAAUAAAAACAUUUUUCACGAGGGAUGCAUGAAACACUGUCGCAAUAUUGUGUGCAUGAACCAUUGUGUGUGACACAAGCCGUGGGGGCACACCGCCUCGGACACAUUUUGGGAAGCAUAAAACACAGUAUAUACAGAGCUAGUAUGGUGGAUGCUUCUUUUUUCUUUUUGGCCGUUAUGAGACAUCUUCGGCCGUAAUGAGACUACCUUCGGCCGUAUUGAGACUUUGGCCGUAACGAGACACUUGGGGAUUAAAGGAUUUUCGGCCGUAAUGAGACUUUCGGCCGUAAUGA